rnacentral:lncRNA from 1 species
GUGGACACUCUCAAUAUAUGUAUAUUUAUAAACUUUAAGAGCAAAAUAUGUACACACAAAACACUUAAAAGACACCGAAGGACCCUAAGGCCUCAGAUUAAAUACCCCCCAACCACAAGCAGGGGUUCGUCAGAACAAUAAUCCAGAGCCCCCCCGAUACUCAGAAGCACUUCAUGGGGGAGGAGGAGGACGAGGACGGGUAAGAGGGGAAAUCGAGAAUCCGCCAACGGGCACAAUGUCACCCGGCUGGGUCCCCCUCGCUCAUGCUAAGGGGCCGGCAGAGACGGGGGGAUAGGCGGUGCAGUCAGUAGCGGUCAGUCCACACGUUAAGAGUCCGAGCGACCCCACGGGGUCAGGGGUCCAUAGCGCGGCCGCACCUCCCGGCGGGUCUCUCUCUCCGUGGAUUGGGGUGACCCAGGCCCCGGGAGAAGGUUGAGGGGAGAGGGCCUAGGCCCGGAGUCCACGAGCGGCCUCACGCCUCCUCCUGGUUUCCGGACGACCGGCGUCAGCUUCCCCAGGCCCAGGCCCAGGCCCCCACCGCACACAAACCCCUGGCGCCUGCUCCCCGGAGGCCACGAGCGGCCCCGCGGCCUAGGCCGAAAACGCGCGCCUUUCGUUUCCGUCGCCUUGAGGCCCGGAACCGGGAGAACACGCCCGCAAGCUGCCGGGCAGCGGCCAGGGCUUCUCCGGCUCCCUUUUUGUGUUGCCCCCCUGCCGCUCGGGGGCCCUCACCGAGCGGCGGCGACACUUCCAAGCCAGGCACUAUGGCGGACGCGGCCUGGCUUCGGACGAGCGCCCCACUCCGGGGUCUCUUAAGCAGGGAUAGCACGGGCGGCGCGCGCGAGGCGGGGCUGGCGUGCGCCGAUAGGCGGGCCAAGGGGCGGGGCUGCUGACGUCACAAAGCGCACGGCCCGCCCACGUGACCCCGUGCUUUGUGACUCCAGAGCGCGGAAACUGAACGAGCCGAGACAACGGGAGGAACCAAUUGCUUCACAAGGGAG